GCGGUAAUACCAGCUCCCCGAGUGGUGGGGGUGAUUAUUGGGCCUGAAGCGUCCGUAGCCGGCUCGGUAAGUCUUCCGUUAAAUCCAACGAUCUAAUCGUUGGGCCGCGGGAGAUACUGUCGGGCUAGGGGGCGGAAGAAGCCGACGGUACUCCUGGGGUAGGGGUGAUAUCCUAUAAUCCUAG
rnacentral:rRNA from 1 species